GAGAAGCUGCUGCUGCUUCUGUUGCUGCUGCUGCUGACAUUUUUGUGAACCUCAAAGUAUAACGUGAUUCUGCCACCUACUUACCUACUGGGAGAAGACCUCAUGCAACAAUGGAAUGGAGCUCACUGGGAAGGAGUAAGGAAUACUGACAAUAUAAAAACUCCCUAAAUUGACUUCAGAGAGAAAAUGAUCUUCAACUAAGAGACCAUUUGACGGAAUACAAGAUGCUGUCUGCUCUGGUGCCUCUGGUCCAAUCUGGUUCCUUGGAAUCCAGAGAAAACUCAACAUUCCUGUAGUGUCUGCAGGAGGCUUAAGGAGCUCUCUCCCCUGAAACACGGGAUUUCAGGGAAAGACUGGGGGAGUUGUGUGAGAUGUGGGUACACAUGAUCUUUGCAGUGAGUGGGGGAGGACAGUGUAUUGGAGAAAGGGAAAAGAGAUGAAUAUCUGUAAGUUUGGCGAAGGUAGUCUUGUGAAAUAAAACCAUCUGUAUGGAGAGUUAGAUUGG